GUCUGGACAGUUAUUUUUAUUAGCUGACAGGUAUUUGAGAGUUGGGCUCUCAGGAAAAUAGAAAUACAAAUUGCAGAAUAUCACCUGGCACCUGUCAGCCUGAACCAUGAAUGAGUGAUGAAGUUGUAACUUCCCUUACAUCUCACCUGUGCAAGAGUCUCAUGACUUCAGGCCCAAAAAUAACUGGUGCCAGAGCUGUGUACCAGCAGCAAUCCCUUGUACACCACACAAAUAUUUUAACCUGUCUUUUGUAACUACAUUUUUGCACGAGUUGAAAUGUUACUUAGCAUGGGUGCCAAGUUGAGGUACCCAGCAUUUUCCCAGCAAGCAAUGUCAUGAAGAAGAAACACAGUUCCUCUGUUAGCUCAAAAUUCAGGCUCUGGCACAAAUGUCUCCUGUGCCAGCUGUGCCACAUCAGGUCUGUACUCAUGCAGGGCCUGUUGCUACAUGAACAGAAUACAGCUCUUGGCUGUAUUUACCCAUUCCAGCACAAGCUGCUCUCAGUGAAAAGUGAUACACACACCUGGGACAUUUUCCUCAACUGGCUUUGUCAGAUGAUCCACUGGAAACCCAACCACCCACAAGAGAAGGCAGGAACUGAUUUACCCAGCGGCUGCCCUGUUGUGAGACCCCUCAGAAGGUGAAGCAGCAGGAGCCCGUCACGGAGGUGUGGAGGGGAGUAGGGGAGGGAAGUAGGAGCAGCUGUAAUGUCCAGAGUUUGCACGUUUGAGCCCUGAGUGUCAGUAGAGGAUUGGUUUUAUCUCUGUCAGGAAGUUUCUGCCCUCCAUCUGCCAAUUAUCACCUCACCCCAACGUCUCUGCCAUGGUUUCACCCACGGUUUAACCAGUGCUCACUGCAGCUGGAAGGUGGAUUGCUCCCCUGAUUGAUGCCCCUCCUGAUUUUGUGAUGGCAGCAGCCCUUGCCUCACCUAAAACUUUACUCUAAGCCAACAUGCAGAUAGUCAUCUGUCCUUCACAGCAAGGUGCAGCUCAACAGCAAAGUGCCUGCAUUAAAGCUUUCCUGUCUGUUGGGGGAAACUGCCUCCACAAAUCCAGAGGCUCAGGAGGGGUACAGGCUUGAUUCAUCUCCUGUACAAAGGGAUCCUUGGGUUUUGGGGAUCAUUUUUAGCACUGCCAAACCACAGAGACUUGAUGGAAAAGGUAUCUGUGUCAGUAGUGCUGCUCCAGCAGGCUUCAUGCCUCAGGUGACCUUCCUGGAUUACAGCAGCCUGAUCCCUUUUUUGGUGGUUUUUAAUAGUUCAAUGCCGACGGUAUGCAGUGCCUGAGGAGAGGUGUCAUUCUCACUGCCCGGGCUGUGCUCCACCUGGAGCAGCAGGUGAUGCUGGAGGCUCCAGGAGUCCAGGGCUCCAUCUCCUGGCCAGUCCCAGCUUGCAGGAAUCCACCCACCCCUGGCACAGCUUUGGGCACCACAGUAUCAGAAGGAUCUAAAGUUACUGGAGAGCAAAGGAGGGACACAAGCAUGCUGAAGCAUCUCGAGGCAACUAGAGCUGUGUGAGGAGUGGCUGAGGGCACACGGUUUGUUCAGCCUGAAGGAAACUGAGGGCAGAGCUCACCAGGGGCUGCAGCUUCAUCCCAAGGGCCAGCUCUGAUCUCUGCUCUGUGACCAGGGACUGAGGGAAUGGCUGGAGCUGUGCCAGGGGAGGUUUAGGCUGGAUACCAGGAAAGGUUCUUCCCCCAGAGGUGCUGGCACUGCCCAGGCUCCCCAGGGAAUGGGCACCGCCCCGAGGCUGCCAGAGCUCCAGGAGUGUUUGGACAGUGAUCUCAGGGAUGCCCAGGGUGGGAUUGCUGGGGUGUCUGUGCAGGGACAGGAGCUGGAAUCAUGAUCCUUUUGUGUGCCUUCUGACUCAGGCUAUUUAAUCAUUAUAGAGAAGCAGCUGUCUGAAAAUGAGCUCUUCUGCUGCUGCUGCUGCUGUGCUUCCCAGGGUCUCACAGCAUUGCACCUGGUGACUUUGUUGAUUAAACUAUUUUCUGAGUGUCUGAUAUCCCUGUCAGCCCUGCUGAGCCCAGGGAUAUCUAUCUGGGCUCUACCUUGGCUCAUGCCUCAGAAGCAUAACUGUUCAGAGUUGUGACAGUGAACUCACACUUUUCAACAAGAUUCAGGGCAGGAAGGGGUCAGCCUGUUUGCCAAAUCGGCUGUAAAGUCUACAGAGAGAGAAAAAAAUUCUUUGUCUGUGUCAAAAGUGCAAAUUACAAUUGGAAAAUUUUUGAGUUUCUGAAUGUGGAAACUCACGAUGUGUGAUGACUUAUCUGAUUUUUUUGUAACAUUUUAUAUGGGGUUUUAAAGUCCUGUCUCGAUGAAUCACCUGAAAUUCUCAACUUCUCUUUUUAAAAGUCUGUGGUCACAUCGCUGCAGAGAAUCACGAACACCUCAACCUCAAGGUUCAGCCACUGAAGGCAAAGAACGACUUCUUUCCUAUUUUCUAACUUUUUGCUAACUUUCAUUCUGCUGUGCAAGGGGGAGGGCUGGACUCCUGCUCCUCAGCUGCCUGAACAGACAGUGCCGAGUGCCAGCUACGGGCUCGUCUGUAGAACUGCAGUGCUCCGCAGCGAGAGCUGAUCCUGACGGGAUCCAGCAGCACCCGGAGUCCGCGCUACCAACCCGGCAGCUCCCACAGCCGCAGCGAGGCAGAUUCCCCAUUAAAAAAAAAAAAAAAAAAAAAAAA
rnacentral:lncRNA from 1 species